CUUAACACAUGGCAAGUUGAACGAGACUUUAAAGUUUCGUAGCGAACGGGUGAGUAAAUGCAAAAUACUACCUUUUAGUUUAGCACAAAAUUUUUUUAUAAAAAUAAAAUACUAAAUAAUCAAAAGGUUUUACUUUAAGUAAUUCCGCUAAAAGAUGUUUUUGCUUAAGAUUAGGUCGUUGGUAAUUUAAAAGCUUACCAAGCCUAUGAUCUUUAGUUGGUCUUAGAGGAUGAUCAACCACACUGGAACUGAAAUAAGGUCCAGGCUGAUACGUCGGCCAGCAGUGAGGAAUAUUGGACAAUGAACGAAAGUUUGAUCCAGCAAUACUAUUUGGGUGAUGACUGCUUAUUUAAGUUGUAACAUCCUUUCAUUAAAAACGAUAAUGACGUUAUUUAAAGAGGUAUAGUCCCGGCUAAUACUCGUGCCAGCAGCCGCGGUAAUACGGGAGGGGCAAGCGUUAUCCAGCAUUACUGGGCGUAAAGAGUUCGUAGACGGUAAAGUAAGUUUUUUGUUAAAUUUUAAAACUUAAUUUUAAACCAAGCAAAAAAUACUGCUUUACUUU
rnacentral:rRNA from 1 species